GCCAUAGCCCAGUGGCAGAGCAUCUGCUUUGAAUGCAGAAGGACCCAGGUUCAAUCCCAGGGAUCUCCA